rnacentral:tRNA from 1 species
CCUGGUGGCUCAGACAGUAGAGAAUCUGCCUGCAGUGCAGGAGACCCGGGUUUAAUUCCUGGGUCAGGA